rnacentral:rRNA from 1 species
AAGCCUGAUGCAGCGACGCCGCGUGAGGGAUGACGGCCUUCGGGUUGUAAACCUCUUUCAGCAGGGACGAAGCGAAAGUGACGGUACCUGCAGAAGAAGCACCGGCCAACUACGUGCCAGCAGCCGCGGUAAUACGUAGGGUGCGAGCGUUGUCCGGAAUUACUGGGCGUAAAGAGCUCGUAGGCGGUUUGUCGCGUCGUCUGUGAAAACCCGCAGCUCAACUGCGGGCUUGCAGGCGAUACGGGCAGACUUGAGUACUGCAGGGGAGACUGGAAUUCCUGGUGUAGCGGUGAAAUGCGCAGAUAUCAGGAGGAACACCGGUGGCGAAGGCGGGUCUCUGGGCAGUAACUGACGCUGAGGAGCGAAAGCGUGGGUAGCGAACAGGAUUAGAUACCCUGGUAGUCCACGCCGUAAACGGUGGGCGCUAGGUGUGGGUUUCCUUCCACGGGAUCCGUGCCGUAGCUAACGCAUUAAGCGCCCCGCCUGGGGAGUACGGCCGCAAGGCUAAAACUCAAAGGAAUUGACGGGGGCCCGCACAAGCGGCGGAGCAUGUGGAUUAAUUCGAUGCAACGCGAAGAACCUUACCUGGGUUUGACAUAUACCGGAAAGCCGUAGAGAUACGGCCCCCCUUGUGGU